UGCAAUUUCAUCGUAUGGUUGAUUUGAGUUAUACAUAUAUGCCUUGCCUGCCUCUCAAGUCCAAGUCUCAACUACUCUCGUGGAAUUGUUAGGAGACUUGAAAAAUGGUUCGUUGAUGACUAUGAACAGUAUACAAAGACCAGAGUAUGAUGACUAUGAACAGCAGGUAGUGGUGGGCCGGUGGAAAAAAAUGUCUUAGCGUUUGAAUCUUCUUCUAUAUAAUGUAUGAGAGUAGGCAUAAUUAAGCCAUAAUAGAAAGGGAGGAGAUAAAAGCAUUCGCUUGUAAACGGUGAGAACUUGGCUGGUCUUCCUGCUCGCCGGUAAUGGCUGCUUCGAGGAAGCUUGACGGUAAUGGCAUUUCAGGGAAGAAGUUAAAGGCCGAGAUGGAGAUUUUACAGUGUUUCCUUGUUGUGUUACUAAGUGCCAUUGUUCUUACAACUCUGGCCCAUGCUCAGGAUCAAACAGGCUUCAUUAGCCUAGAUUGUGGACUACCUGACAAUGCUACCUACACCGAUUCGAUAACGAGCCUAAACUACAAUUCAGAUGAAGCAUUUAUAAACACUGGCAUAAGCAAAAGAAUAUCUUCUGAAUUUAGUAAUUAUAGCUUUGUGAGGAGACUACAGUACGUUAGAAGCUUUCCUCAAGGAAACAGAAACUGUUAUAAAUUAGGCCUUGAUAAAGGCAUCAAAUAUCUGAUCAGAGCUACUUUCUUGUAUGGAAAUUAUGAUGGCCAAAACCAAAUACCACAAUUUGAUAUCCAUCUAGGAACUAAUAAAUGGAGUACGGUGCAACUAGAGCAUGCAAUCCGUUCAUUUUCCACAGAGAUCAUACAUGUGACUGCUAGGAGCUACGUAUUUGUCUGCCUUGUGAACACCGACUCUGGGACACCAUUCAUAUCAGCAUUAGAAUUGAGGCCUCUGCAUAAUGCAACUUAUAAUACUGAAACUGGAUCACUAGUACUCGCCAGGAGGUUAGAUAUUGGUUCAACAACCAAUGCAACGGUCAGGUUUCCGAAUGAUAUUUAUGAUCGAGUCUGGCAAACUCACAAUUGGGCAAAAUUGAUUAGCUCGCAAACUGAUGAUUACCAGGAACAAAAUUCUUACGAUCCACCAUCAAGUGUUAUGACGACUGCUGUCACAUCAACAAAUGCUACUGAGCCACUGUCUUUCUCGAUAGGCACUGAAGGUAGUGCUAGCCAGUAUUAUACCUAUAUGCACUUUGCUGAAAUUGCAAUUCUCCAAGCCAACCAAUCCAGGAAAUUCGACAUAUAUUUGAAUGGACAAAAAUGGUAUGGACCAAUAUUUCCUCGUUAUUUGUCCACAAAUACAAUAUUUACUCGGUCAGCAUUGAAUGGAGGAAAAUUUCAGUUUUCCUUGAAUAAAACUGGAAAUACAACCCUUCCACCCCUUAUCAAUGCAAUUGAGAUUUAUACUGUACUUGAACUCUUACAACCUCAAUCAGAUCAAGAAGAUGUUGAUGCCAUAAUGAACAUCAAGUCAGCAUAUAGAAUAGAAAGAAACUGGCAAGGUGAUCCUUGUUCCCCACCAGAUUACUUAUGGGAAGGUCUCAAUUGCAGCUAUAAUGACGAUGACCUGCCCAGAAUCAUAUCCUUGAACUUAUCGUCAAGUGGAUUGACCGGGGAGAUUAAUCGUUACAUAUCCAAUCUCACAUUGUUACAAUCUCUGGACUUAUCAAACAAUAGUUUGACUGGAUCAGUGCCUGAUUUUCUGUCUAAAUUAUCUUCCUUGAAAUUCUUAAAUCUAUCAGGAAACCAACUCACAGGCACUGUUCCCCCAGCUCUCAUUGAAAGGUCAGAGAAGAGUUUGUUAGUGUUAAGGUGAACAUUUUGCCAGAAAUCGCAAAUCUAUAGCAGCAAAAUUUACAAUGAGGCAUGUUAAUUUUAUUUAGUGUUGUCCUGAUCAUGCCUCUGUUUGAGUGCUUAAGUGAUCAUAGCAACUGUGAGUUGUUUGUUUUUCAGUUUCUUGUCCAUUUAAUUUAACAAGUUGACUUACAUGCAAACAGAAACUAGUAAAUGAUACUGCUAGAGUAUCCUGGAGUUUACUGGAAGUCAAUAAUCUAACGUACUAAUUUUGUUGAAUUUACUCGAUCAAUUCAAGUGUUGGAGGAAAUGCAAAUCUAUGUCCAUCCCUUUCAUGCAAGAAGAAAAAGAAGAAGAAACUAUUUACCAUUCCAGUAGUGGCAUCUGUUGCUGCAGUGAUCAUUGUAGCUGCUUUGGUUAUCUUAUUUUGGAAAAUUACAAGAAGAAAACAAGGUAAAAAUUCAAAUAUUGAACAUAUUAAUAAGAGUUUAAGGGAAAAUUCCAGAUGUGAAUUUCUACGUCAUCACAAUAAACUCUGUAUGCAUGUGCUUUCUUCUCAGUCCUUGGUAAGUAUGUGCUUAAUAAAUCAUUUUGUUAAAGUUUCACUAGCUGGGAAAGAAGAUGCCAAAACCAACAUUGUAUGCAUGCCACUGGAGCCAAAAAAUCGAGAGUUCACAUACUCUGAGAUCCUGAAUAUUACGAACAACUUUGGGAGGGUUCUUGGUAAGGGAGGAUUU
rnacentral:misc_RNA from 1 species